rnacentral:miRNA from 1 species
UGUCAUUCUGUCCCGAGCGACC